GGGAAGGGUGUGAAAUUGAGCGACAGCCUGGGGUAUGGAAGUAGAGGCCAGGUGAUCUGAGAAAGCUCUGGCGGGCUUAUCGUCAGAUCCCACUUACUUCUAAAUCUGAUUCCGGUUAUGCAAUCUUAUACAUGCCAAUGCAUGAGACAAAACGAAUAUAAAAAGAAAGAGGCGCUGCUUGGGCAAAGGGCAAAGCCGCGCAGAGCCGCGGCUGUCAUUGACAAGAUGCAAUAGGGCCGAACCCCAAGAAGAAGGCAGCCAGUAAUUGCCUGGGAACAAAGGAAGAGCGGAGCCAGGCAGCCGCUGCUAAGGUGCACCCACUCACCACCGCCCGCUCGGGGUGGGGUGGGGGGUGGGGAACCACGGGCGCUCGGCGCUCAGUUUAAGAGGUCUCGGGUUCCAGCCCCGCGAGCCCGAGGGUCCAAGCUCAGGGCGCCCCCGCAGCCGCCCUGGCAGAGGCUUGUCAGAGUGAAUGUAGUCGGUGACUCUGGGUUUGCAGACCAGACUCCCAUCCCUGCCCCGAAGGGGGAUCCUGGGGAGAUCAGCUCCUAGGUGCUGGGUGAGUCCGA